AGAGAGAGACAUGCGCGCAUAUCAAUAAGCGGAGGAAAAGAAACUAACAAGGAUUCCCCUUAGUAACGGCGAGUGAAGCGGGAAGAGCUCAAAUUUGAAAUCUUCAAGGUUUUACCUUGACGAAUUGUAGUUUAAAGAAGUGUUUUCUGCUGAAGUUUUGGUAAAAGUUCUUUGGAAUAGGACAUCAUAGAGGGUGAGAAUCCCGUAUUUGACCAUUAUUUUCAGCUUUGUGAUACACUUUCAAAGAGUCGGAUUGUUUGGGAAUGCAGUCCAAAAUGGGUGGUAAAUUUCAUCUAAAGCUAAAUAUUGGCGAGAGACCGAUAGCGAACAAGUACCGUGAGGGAAAGAUGAAAAGAACUUUGAAAAGAGAGGUUAAACAGUACGUGAAAUUGUCAAAAGGGAAGCGUUUGACACCAGUGUUGUUUUUCUCGAAAAUCAAUUAAAAAUGGCUCGAUUUUGUAUUGUUGAGACCUUAAAAGCUCACUGUACAUUUUUCGUGUCUUUUUUAAUGCACUUUUCGUUUAACAAGUCAACAUCAGUUUCUUUUGUUGUAAAAGGGUCAUUGGAAGGUGGCUUUCUUUUCGGAGAAAGUGUUUAUAGCCUUUGGCCUCUGCAAUCGAAGAGACUGAGGUCUGCAGCGUAGACUCUUCGGGGUUAGAUACAUUUGUGCUAAGUUAUAGCUUUUUAUAGACAACUUGUUGACUAUAAUUAGUCUUGUAGCUUACUCGCUUAUGCUAUUUUACCUACGCUUAGGAUGUUGAAGAUGUAGCACAUCAU
rnacentral:rRNA from 1 species